GGAAUAUUGCACAAUGGGCGCAAGCCUGAUGCAGCCAUGCCGCGUGUAUGAAGAAGGUCUUCGGGUUGUAAAGUACUUUCAGCGAGGAGGAAGGCAUUGUGGUUAAUAACCACAGUGAUUGACGUUACUCGCAGAAGAAGCACCGGCUAACUCCGUGCCAGCAGCCGCGGUAAUACGGAGGGUGCAAGCGUUAAUCGGAAUUACUGGGCGUAAAGCGCACGCAGGCGGUCUGUCAAGUCGGAUGUGAAAUCCCCGGGCUCAACCUGGGAACUGCAUUCGAAACUGGCAGGCUAGAGUCUUGUAGAGGGGGGUAGAAUUCCAGGUGUAGCGGUGAAAUGCGUAGAGAUCUGGAGGAAUACCGGUGGCGAAGGCGGCCCCCUGGACAAAGACUGACGCUCAGGUGCGAAAGCGUGGGGAGCAAACAGGAUUAGAUACCCCAG
rnacentral:rRNA from 1 species